rnacentral:rRNA from 1 species
AUUGAACGCUGGCGGAAUGCUGUACACAUGCAAGUCGAACGGCAGCACGGACUUCGGUCUGGUGGCGAGUGGCGAACGGGUGAGUAAUGUAUCGGAACGUGCCCAGUCGUGGGGGAUAACGUAGUGAAAAUUACGCUAAUACCGCAUACGAUCUAUGGAUGAAAGCGGGGGAUCGCACGACCUCGCGCGAUUGGAGCGGCCGAUAUCAGAUUAGGGAGUUGGUGGGGUAAAGGCCCACCAAGCCAACGAUCUGUAGCUGGUCUGAGAGGACGACCAGCCACACUGGAACUGAGACACGGUCCAGACUCCUACGGGAGGCAGCAGUGGGGAAUUUUGGACAAUGGGCGAAAGCCUGAUCCAGCCAUUCCGCGUGCAGGAUGAAGGCCCUCGGGUUGUAAACUGCUUUUGUACAGAACGAAAAGGUUUCUACUAAUACUAGGAGCUCAUGACGGUACUGUAAGAAUAAGCACCGGCUAACUACGUGCCAGCCGCCGCGGUAA